rnacentral:rRNA from 14 species
ACACUUUCAAAUGCGGAUCUCUUGGUUCUGGCAUCAAUUAAGAACGCCACCAAAUGCUAUAACUAAUGUUAAUUGCCUAGUCCUUCAGACAUCCAAUCUUUUACCACCCAUUGUACCCUCUGGUAUUCCGGACGUGAUGCCUGUUCUAGCGUCAUUA